AGUAAGGUAAGCUAAUUUAAGCUCACAGGUUCAUACCCUGUUUAUGGUUUCGACCCCUUUCUA
rnacentral:tRNA from 1 species